CCAGACUCCUACGGGAGGCAGCAGUGGGGAAUAUUGCACAAUGGGCGAAAGCCUGAUGCAGCAACGCCGCGUGAAGGAAGAAGGGUUUCGGCUCGUAAACUUCUAUCAACAGGGACGAAAGAAAUGACGGUACCUGAAUAAGAAGCCCCGGCUAACUACGUGCCAGCAGCCGCGGUAAUACGUAGGGGGCAAGCGUUAUCCGGAAUUACUGGGUGUAAAGGGUGAGUAGGCGGCAUGGUAAGCCAGAUGUGAAAGCCUUGGGCUUAACCCGAGGAUUGCAUUUGGAACUGUAAGGCUAGAGUGUCGGAGAGGCAGGCGGAAUUCCUAGUGUAGCGGUGAAAUGCGUAGAUAUUAGGAGGAACACCAGUGGCGAAGGCGGCCUGCUGGACGAUGACUGACGUUGAGGCUCGAAAGCGUGGGGAGCAAACAGGAUUAGAUACCCUGGUAC
rnacentral:rRNA from 1 species